ensembl:lncRNA
CUGGUCACCAGGGGCCGACUGGUCAGCAGGCGCUCAGUGGCACAAUAAAACAAUAAUGCUGAUUUAAAGGAGUGUCAAUCACCUCAACCACCAGAGGGGGGGAAGCAUGCGACACAGAACUGUAUUCAGCAGCUUCCUUUGCACCAGAUUAGAGUUGGACAGACACACGGGUGAACAGACACUCACACACAAGAUCGAUCACAUGAUCCUCCUUGCAAAUAUGCUGCUAACCGAACCUUCUCCAUCAUUUACUUCUACUGGAACACUUGAUUUGCACUUUAUUAUCUUCUGUUUGUGUUUAUAUUUUCUCCUCUUGCCUGGAGACAUUUCUCUGCUAUUUCCAUAUUUUUCAGGAACUGAAACACCAUGUUGACAAUCUGUCACACAAGUGCCUGUUUUGGCACUUGUGUGACAGAUUGAUGACUUGGGAAUAAGGUCGGACUUGACAUCUGAAGGUCUUACAACACAAGAGUGCAGACAGCUGCUACAAACAAUGACAUGAUUCACAUAUUAACUAAAUGUAUUGUGUCUCCUCGCUGUUUAAAAUGUGGUGUUUCUAACACAGACAGCACUUAAAAAUGUUUUAUUGGAACUGGCCUUCACGUCAUCUGGAGUCCAGACAAUGAAACACAUACAACUCUGAGUUGGACCGUAGAGGAAUAACACAAACUACCUUUUGUUUCUGCAGUUUAAGAAAAAACUGUUUCUUGUUUCUGGGCCACCUCAUUUUUUUUUGCAUUAGUUAACCAAUAAGAACAGUUAUUAGUUAUUUUAGGGUGUAUCUACCAUUGUUCUCCAAUUUUGUCACAUUUCUAAAUAUUUUGAUAAGUUAUCCUUUCCCUCCUUCUGCACUGAAAAAUGCACGUUUGGCACUGAUACACUGUGAAGGAUUUCCAGACGGCCAAGCCGUGGAUGCCCACGUCCUCCCAGUCUGCUGCUGCCCUCAGAGAGACUUUAGAACAUCACCACAAGGAGGAAGUAGUGUGUUUGCUCAGCAAGAGGAAGCCAGCUGGUCCUGAACGGCAAUGAAGAGCUGCUUUAGAGUACGGUGAGCACCUGAAGCAUAUCAGUAACAUCAGAAUGCACAUAAAUGAUUCACUGUGCGGGCUUGGACUUCAUGUCACUACAUGUGACAAUUCUGUAUUUGAAGGCUCACGAGGGGACGAUGGUGGCCCAGCACCACCCAGCAGACACUCAUCUAGAGACCACGCGGUGAACACAGUGGAGCAUUUCUCACAGGAGCUGUUCUCCACCAAGGAGAGGGACUGGAUGUGCUCAGAUUAUCACGCUAACGUUGCUCCCCACAUGGUGGACGUGUCGAUCUGAUGAGCAACUGUUUAUGCAUGCGAGCUAGCGGGGAAACGUUCCACUGUUGUUUCCACAGCUUAUUUCAGCUCAGCGCCCUUUAAACAUCGUCUGGUCUCUACGUUGCUUUCACGCCCACGCCGUGUUGACGACAUCCUGGAACUUUCCACGGACACUGUCGUUGGUUUUGUGUGGACCAAAUAAUCAAAGAUCGUCGGUUUGUUUGUGAUGUGAAAUGAAAGAAACCACCCGCAGGAUCUGAUCCACGCACGGCGGUGCUGACGAUGCAGGAGGUGAACAGUGGUUCUCAACUGGUCGGGCUGGGUGACGUGACCAAAGAGAAGAAGUCUCACAUGCAUUUGAUAAAAGAUGGUGCAGUUUGAACCUGGAACAGCAGUUUAUGUAGAGUAGAAAUGCAGAAGAAUCUCCCUGGGAAGUCGACCCAGAAGCCGUAAACAGGUCUCUGAAACAAGGCUGCAGCAUUGGGGCCAUAAUGAGAGCUGUGGCAUCGUUCCAGAUGUUGACUGGAAAAAUGUGUGCUGAGAAUUUACUGCUAUUGUAGCACAAUAAAAACUCCACAGCGCCACAUUCAUUUAGCAGCAUGGCGGUAAGACAGACUGAGGUUUGUCAGGAAGUUUUAUCAAAAAAAAGAGUAUUUGAGCAACUGAUAAAAUAAAUCCAUAUUGUCACAUGAUCUAUCCAUAAGAUAUUCACAUAUUCAUAAAUAUAAUCCAACACCAUCCAGCCUCUGCUAUCCCUGUGCAGCAUCACAGUGUCGAUGAUCCAACAAUGGUCUGCUCAGUGCGUAUCACAGCAUGCCUCCUCCCAUGACCUCACUAUUCUCACUAUCAGUCCGUCGGGGGCGUUUGGAUCCCCUCUGCUGAAAAGAAGCCUGUUGCACGAGUUUUCCAGUUCAUUCUGCCAACUGGAUGUUUUUUCCGCCACCUUUGAACUCAGCGGCGUGUUUGUGUUAAAUACACUCAUGCUAUCAACUUUAGGACAAACUGGGCCAGAAGAGGGAGAGAAAUACGUUUUUUAGUAAUCAGUGUCCUGGAUACAGAUUUCUAUAUUGCAAUAAAAGUUACUAUGAAUGCUCCUAAUCUGUCACGGAGGAAGCUCCUGAGGAGGCCUCGGACGCAGAGUUGAGGUUCAGCUGACGCUUUUAUUUCCCUGGGAACAAAAAACUUCUCCGAAGAGAGAUGAACGGGGGAAAGCUCUGGCUAAACUAAGGGAGCUGAAUAGUUAACAAAUGCAAAACCAAAAUCUCUCUCACAGAGGAAAUAAUCCUCAAACAAUCAAUCACAAAAAGGCUCUAAACUAAAUCAAGGAGCUAUGGAGCCAAAAACGGCACGAGGCCAACUGAGGAGACCACAAGGCCCACUGAGGAGACCACAAGGCCCACUGAGGAGACCACAAGGCCCACUGAGGAGACCACAAGGCCAACUGAGGAGACCACAAGGCCCACUGAGGAAACCACAAGGUGGCUCGGUACGAACUAAUCAUUCUCGACUCUUUGCCCUGCCGGCAAUAGAUGCCCCCCUACAGGGGUCCUAACUACGCUUCUUUGCUGCUCAUAUUGAAAGUCCCGCCAUGAACUAAAGAUAUACAACACAACCAGACUGGGAGGGAAGCGUCAUCCUUCCUGGUGUGCUGAACCACCACGUAGGUCAGAGCAUGGGGGGCAAGGUGGUUUCUCACGGGGGGUCCAUGGAGGCCUUGCUAACAGUGUGUUAGCGGAAAGAAACAACGUCCUUGCCUGCAUUGAAAUUCAGAGAACUAAGAAUAAUUAGACUUCAGGGACCCUCCUCCAAGCAGCCAUUUCCCCCCGAACCAACAAAACAUCAAUCUUGUAGUUCCACUGGAGCCUCCAAGCAUCCAGAUGUUGAUCCCCCAACAGGGCCACUAAACAGAAGAUCAGGUGAUCGGUCACACAAUGGAAACGUAAUAAUUCAUGUGGUGAUUUAAAGAUGAUUAAAGUCUCCUGAUCCAGACAGAUCGGAUGUUUGAUGUACGUGAUGAUUUAUCCACUAAACACCUCAGUCAAGGAUAGUUUUUAGUACACAAAACCAAAUUAGAAACCGAUUGUUUGAAAAAUGAAAGUGCUUUUAAUCUGUGGGUGUGUAGUCUUCCGUGUUGCUUGCACACUUCUGAUCUCAUGCGUUCCCUCUGGUGUUGCUGCUGCAUGACAACAAUCCACUGCUCGGAGGUUGACCUUUGUGUAGAACAAUGGGUGUUUAAGGAGCCUGGCGGGGGUCUCCUGUCAAUGCAUCUAUCCGUCAGCGGCGCUCCAGGUGGGACUGGGAGCGCGAAGAGGAAAGCUGAGGGGAAACGCUGUGGGCAAACACAAUGAGAGGGUCUUUUCCUUUUCAAUCAAUCCGUCAAGAUCAGCAUCUUUAAGAAACAAACCGCUAUUGUUUGCAUUCGCAGGUAUACGUUCAUUGAGAUUAAGGUUAGGAAAAUAUUGCAGGCAUGAAAGAGACAUUUCAAUAAGCUGAACUGUAAUUGUUUGCUCACAAAACUUGUUACAAGUUGCCAGAUUUAAAACCUUCAACUUUAUUUACACCAGAAAAUCCACGGCGGAAAUGUUUAUGCAAUUUCCUUCAGAGCUCCUGUUCCGCAGCCAAUAAAAUCCAUCAGCAAGAAUUGUCAAAUGAAGUUGAUCCAUUUUGAUAAGUAAGCUUUCUUGAUAAACUAUCACUUCUAACACUAUUAAUAUUCCCAUUUCUAUUACUGUAAACUUUACUGCGCAUCACUAACUUUGUUUCUUCCAAGUAUUUGUGCUUUCUCACCUCACAGGUUUCCAUGAAUCUUGGUUCAAUCUGGACCCUGUUCCUGCCUCCUGCCGUGACCCUGCUGACCCCUGCUGCUGCCACCAUCCUCAUUAUUGUUGUUUUAAAUAUCACAUUACUGUUACUGUCAUCGUAAACCAACAAUACGCUCCCCUAAAGUCGUAGUGCUCUUGCUCCCCACAGGCUUCUGUGGAUGGUGGAUCUAUCUGAUGGUGGUUCUACCUGAUGGUGGUUCUAUCUGAUGAUGGUUCUACGUGAUGGUGGUUCUACGUGAUGGUGCUUCUAUGUGAUGGUGGUUCUACGUGAUGGUGGUUCUACCUGAUGGUGGUUCUACGUGAUGGUGGUUCUACCUGAUGGUGGUUCUAUCUGAUGAUGGUUCUACGUGAUGGUGGUUCUACGUGAUGGUGGGUCUAUCUGAUGGUGGUUCUAUGUGAUGGUGGGUCUAUCUGAUGGUGGUUCUAUGUGAUGGUGGGUCUAUCUGAUGGUGGUUCUACCUGAUGGUGGUCCCCAGCAGGUUCCUCCCAGCAGGUUCCUCACAGGUCCGUGGGGCUCGAGGAGGGAAAGCAAUUCGCUGCCAGACUUUCAAAACCAUAAGUAGAUGAGAUGAGGUGUUUUGGACAGAUUAUGAACUUGAUAUAAACUUCACGUCGCUCCAUCUCCUCCUGGGUGAGGUUACGAUUACAUGUCAGUUACCAGGCACAUCAGGAAGAUUAGCAAUUACUCACUCGGCGUUAUCUUGAAU